rnacentral:rRNA from 1 species
CCGCGUGAGUGAAGAAGGUUUUCGGAUCGUAAAACUCUGUUGUUAGAGAAGAAUGUUGAUUAGAGUGGAAAAUUAAUCAAGUGACGGUAUCUAACCAGAAAGGGACGGCUAACUACGUGCCAGCAGCCGAUGUAAUACGUAGGUCCCGAGCGUUGUCCGGAUUUAUUGGGCGUAAAGCGAGCGCAGGUGGUUUAAUAAGUCUGAUGUAAAAGGCAGUGGCUCAACCAUUGUGUGCAUUGGAAACUGUUAGACUUGAGUGCAGUAGAGGAGAGUGGAAUUCCAUGUGUAGCGGUGAAAUGCGUAGAUAUAUGGAGGAACAUUGGUGGCGAAAGCGGCUCUAAGGACUGUCACUGACACUGAGGCUCGAAAGCGUGGGUAGCAAACAGGAUUAGAUACCCUGGUAGUCCACGCCGUAAACGAUGAGUGCUAGUUGUUUGGGGCUAUCCAGCCCUAAGUGACGCAGCAAACGCAUUAAGCACUCCGCCUGGGGAGUACGACCGCAGGUGAAACUCAAGGAAUGACGGGGGCCCGCACAAGCGUGGAGCAUGUGGUUUAAUCGA